rnacentral:rRNA from 1 species
AUUGAACGCUGGCGGCAGGCCUAACACAUGCAAGUCGAGCGGAUGAAGGGAGCUUGCUCCUGGACUCAGCGGCGGACGGGUGAGUAAUGCCUAGGAAUCUGCCUGGUAGUGGGGGAUAACGUCCGGAAACGGGCGCUAAUACCGCAUACGUCCUGAGGGAGAAAGUGGGGGAUCUUCGGACCUCACGCUAUCAGAUGAGCCUAGGUCGGAUUAGCUAGUUGGUGGGGUAAAGGCCUACCAAAGCGACGAUCCGUAACUGGUCUGAGAGGAUGAUCAGUCACACUGGAACUGAGACACGGUCCAGACUCCUACGGGAGGCAGCAGUGGGGAAUAUUGGACAAUGGGCGAAAGCCUGAUCCAGCCAUGCCGCGUGUGUGAAGAAGGUCUUCGGAUUGUAAAGCACUUUAAGUUGGGAGGAAGGGCAGUAAGUUAAUACCUUGCUGUUUUGACGUUACCAACAGAAUAAGCACCGGCUAACUUCGUG